CCUGCUCCUCUCACCGGGCAAUGGCUCACUCAGCCUGGUUGGCUGCCUCUCUAAGCCUGGGGUCUGUCUCUGUGAGGAGCAGAGGGCAGGCCUGGGGAGCACAUCCCCCAUGUCCUUGCCAUGUUGAUAGUAAACCAAAGUGAGUAACUGCCAUUCUUCCCAAACCCUGAACCUGGGCUGUCCUUCUGUCUGGCUGAGCUCAUUACCAGCUGGGAGGUGAGGCCCUGGCUUUCAGACCCUGACCUUGACCACGACCUUUCACUGCCUCUCUGCAGCCAGGUGUGGGGAGUAGAGAAGGCCCCUGUGAUGAAGAGCCUCCAGUGCCAGGACCAAUAUGGCAGAUGUUAGGAACAGUGGACUGACCUGCUUUCCAAUGCUUGCUGAAAAGUCACCUGGCAGCAAGAGGUUAACCAGUGUUGGUUCCUGUUGUUUACAACCAAGAAUCCUGAGAAGUUCAUAUGUAGCCCACACAUAAGCUGAAGUAUUGCCUUAUGACAUAUUCUGAAUAUUCCAAUUAUUUUGCAAAUAAUUCCACUAAGAGAUUAAUACAUUCUAGAGCAUGUAGCUGUGGUUCAUUCAUUUUCAUAACUGUGUAAUAUUUCAUUGAAUAAAUUUGCUCUUUCUAUAUUUUCAAACCACUUUAUUGAGAUAUUGUUGAAAUGUUAAAAAGUUGUACAUAUUGAAUGUAUGUAACUGGAUUUUGAGGGUAAGUAUACACCCAUGAAACUAUCACUACCAUCCAUCACCUCCUAGCUUUCUCUCACCCCCUUUAUCAUCAUCAUCAUUAGUAUUAUUUGUGCUGUAAUAUAUUUAUCCAUUUUAUUUUUGAUGGACAUUUGAUAUUGAUGGGUAUUGUUUUCAAGUUUUGCAUUACAAUGCUGAUAUAAGGAUUUCUGUAUGUAUAUUUUAGUGUACAUGAAAAAGUAUUUUUCUGUGAUAUAUUCCUGAGAAUAGAAUUGCUAAAUCAUAGAAAAUGCAUAUGUUUAAACUUAUUAGAUAAUGCUAUUUUUCUAAAGUGAGUAAAACAACUUAUUCUCCCACCAGGAGUUACUGAGAGAAUUUAAAUAUUUGCCUAAAAGUCCUUUAAUAUUUUGUUACAUUUAUGGCUAGGUAUUUUAUGUUUUGGUUGCUUUUAUAAGUAGUAAUUUUUUAUUUUUUAACCAUCAGUUACUGGUGUAUAGAUAUGCAGCUGACUUUUGUAUAUCAAAUUUAUGUCUAGAAACCUUACUAAUCUCAGAUUUAUUUGGGUUUUUUCUGGGAAAGACAAUCAUAUUAUCUGGAAAUAAUGCCAAUUUUGUUUUUAAAUUUGUAGUUCUUAUACUUUGUAUUUCUUUUUCUUGUCUUAUUGCACAAUGUGGGAACCUUCAGUAGAAUGUUCACUAUAAAUGGCACUGGCAAACAUUUUUGCUUUAUUUGACUUUAAAGGAGUUGCUUUUAAUAUUUGACUAUUUAAUAUGACAUAUGCUGUAUUUAAAUCUUUAAAAAAGUCUAAGAAAAAUUUUCUAUUUCUAGUUUGCUAAGAAUAUUUUUUAAAAACAUAAACAAUUGUUGCUAAUUAAGUUCUAACUUACACCUGCUUUAAAGGGUUCAAAAGAUUUUCUGUAUUCUUGCCCUUUUAUUUUUUCCUUGAAGCCUGGAAUAUUGUUUUCAUAAUUAGCUGUUAAGCUAACAUUCACACUCAUACACACAGGCAUUCAUUCAUUCACUCAUCAAGACUUUAUUGAGUGUCUGCCAACUGAGGUAUGCAGAAGAUACAAAAGUCUACUGAGUAAAAUAAGAAGUACACCAACAAUUAAUAGGGAUUUCCCAUCUGCACUUCGUGGUUGCUUCAGGGUUUGAUAUUACUCUUCAGAGGCAAGCAGCCAGAAUCGAAAGAACAAGCUUAAGGAAUGAUACUAUAGCAUGGCCCUGAGAUCAUGGUAGGUGCUCUGUAGAGAGGUCUCUAUCAAAUGUCACGGAAUAGUGAAACCAGGGAGUCGAGCAGGACUUAUUCUUAGAAUCAUCAGCAUUUAGGGCUGGAAGAUACCUCAAGGCCACUUGGCUGAAACUCUCAUGUGGUACUCUUUUUGACAGAUGUCUAGUCAUUGCUUGUGUACUUCCAGUCAAGGAUGGAAAACUCCACAAAACACUCUGACCAUUGUUUGUCACUGUAAUUGUUAGAACAAUUUUUCUUAAAUUGAGGUGAACUUUCCCUCCUGGUGGUCUUUUCCUUGUGAUCUCACUAUGCCCCAUGCAUCCACCAAAAACCUUCCCCUGCCUCUCUAUAUGUUGGCUUUCCACAUAAGAGAAUGCAGGUAUCAUGUCUCCUGAGACUUCUCCAAUCCAGAGUAAACACUUCCCAGUUCCUUCCACAGCUUCUCAUAAGAAUUCUUUCCCAACUACUCACCAUUCCUCUUCUGGGCACACUGCUUUCAUCAACAUCUCUCUUCAAACUUAGCAUCAAAGUCACAUGAAAUCACCAUGAUUUGUGAUCAUGAAGCUGACACCUUCUUGUCCUCACUAUUACCCAUUCCACCUAGCUUUUCCAUAUUCAUCUCUGAAUGAAUCCCUACUUUCUCCUUUCAAAACCAGGGCACCUUGGAGAGACAUGUAGGUGUCAUUACAAGUAAAGGUGAUGCAGAAGGAAAUACAUCAAUUUUUCCAGAAAGAUAAUGAGCUACGUGAAUGGGUAACUGCUCCAGUGCUCAGAAGAGCAGUUCUUUAUGGUGCUAAGACAUUAAGAACCUUCUCUCCACAGUCCAGGAAAGAAGGCAUUGUAUGGUACUGUGAAUAAUAUACAAAACAACCCUUUACAUUAAAGAAAAUAAUGCACUUAUAUUUGUUGUGAUAUUCACCAUUGCUUUUGAAAUGCAAAUGUCAAAUAUGCAUAAUGACAUAACGUAGUGCUGGAGUAGCUGUGGGGCCUUGGUUGAAUCACCCAAUUUCUCCAAUCUUCAGUUUCUUUUUCAAUUCACCCAGUGUCUUCUUCAACUAUGAAAUAGCAUGACAGUAAUAAUCACUUGCAAAUCUACCUCCCAGGAAGAACGUGUUGGACCUUCACAAACUAUGACCAGCCUUCAAAUGCAAAACAUUAUUGUCAUAGUGAGUGUGGUUUUGUCAGAGUGAGAUAAUAUUGUCAAAAUAACAAAAUCCAACUCAAACGUGCACUGCUUUUGCAUUCUUAAAUUGCUCCAAAGUAUUUAUCCAUAAUUUUUAGAUACAGAAUGGUCUAGAAGACAUUAAAAUUCUCAGAACAA